AUUGAACGCUGGCGGCAGGCCUAACACAUGCAAGUCGAGCGAGCGGCGGACGGGUGAGUAAUGUCUGGGAAACUGCCUGAUGGAGGGGGAUAACUAAUGGAAACGGUAGCUAAUACCGCAUACCAUCGGAUGUGCCCAGAUGGGAUUAGCUAGUAGGUGGGGUAACGGCUCACCUAGGCGACGAUCCCUAGCUGGGCUGAGAGGAUGACCAGGCAAACUGGAACUGUGACACGGGCCAGACUCCUACGGGAGGCAGCAGGCGGGAAUAUUGCACAAUGGGCGCAAGCCUGAAACAGCCAUGCCGCGUGUAUGAAGAAGGCCUUGGGGUUGUAAAGCACUUUCAGUGGGGAGGCGUUACCCGCAGAAGAAGCACCGGCUAACUCCGUGCCAGCAGCCGCGGUAAUAC
rnacentral:rRNA from 1 species